rfam:Ornithorhynchus anatinus chromosome X1, whole genome shotgun sequence.
AGCAGUGUGGCUCAGCGGCAAGAGUCCGGGCUUGGGAGUCAGAGGUCACGGGUUCGAAUCCCGGUGCUGCCA